rnacentral:rRNA from 1 species
AGAGUUUGAUCCUGGCUCAGGACGAACGCUGGCGGCGUGCUUAACACAUGCAAGUCGAGCGAUGAAGCUCCUUCGGGAGCGGAUUAGCGGCGGACGGGUGAGUAACACGUGGGUAACCUGCCUCAUAGAGGGGAAUAGCCUUUCGAAAGGAAGAUUAAUACCGCAUAAGAUUGUAGUGCCGCAUGGCAUAGCAAUUAAAGGAGUAAUCCGCUAUGAGAUGGACCCGCGUCGCAUUAGCUAGUUGGUGAGGUAACGGCUCACCAAGGCGACGAUGCGUAGCCGACCUGAGAGGGUGAUCGGCCACAUUGGGACUGAGACACGGCCCAGACUCCUACGGGAGGCAGCAGUGGGGAAUAUUGCACAAUGGGGGAAACCCUGAUGCAGCAACGCCGCGUGAGUGAUGACGGUCUUCGGAUUGUAAAGCUCUGUCUUCAGGGACGAUAAUGACGGUACCUGAGGAGGAAGCCACGGCUAACUACGUGCCAGCAGCCGCGGUAAUUC